rnacentral:rRNA from 1 species
CCUACGGGAGGCAGCAGUGGGGAAUAUUGCACAAUGGGGGAAACCCUGAUGCAGCGACGCCGCGUGAGCGAUGAAGUCUUUCGGUAUGUAAAGCUCUAUCAGCAGGGAAGAAAAUGUCGGUACCUGACUAAGAAGCCCCGGCGAACUACGUGCCAGCAGCCGCGGUAAUACGUAGGGGGCAAGCGUUCUCCGGAUUUACUGGGUGUAAAGGGAGCGUAGACGGGCCUGCAAGCCAGAUGUGAAAGCCCGGGGCGCAACCCCGGGACUGCAUUUGGAACUGUAAGGCUAGAGUGGCGGAGAGGCAGGCGGAAGUCCUAGUGUAGCGGUGAAAUGCGUAGAGAUUAGGAGGAACACCAGUGGCGAAGGCGGCCUGCUGGACGAUGACUGACGUUGAGGCUCGAAAGCGUGGGGAGCAAACAGGAUUAGAUACCCUUGUAGUC